GCAGAGAGUACCCCCAGAAAAGCCCACAGAAAAAGAAAGGAGGCGCAGAGAAGGCCAAAAGGCGGAGAGGAGGCUCAGAGAAGGCCAAAAGGUGAAGAGGAAGUGCAGAGAAGGCAAGAGAAAAUGAAAGGAAGCCCAGAGAAGGCCAGAGAAUAUAAAAGGAGACCCAGAGAAUGCCAGAGAAAAUGAAAGAUGGCCCAGAGAAGGCCAGAGAAAAUGAAAGGGGGCCUGGAGAUGGUCAAAAGGCUGAAGGAGGCGAGAGAAGGCCAAAAGGCGGAGAGGAGACUCAGAGAAGGCCAAAAGGUGAAGAGGAAGUGCAGAGAAGGCAAGAGAAAAUGAAAGGAAGACCAGAGAAGGCCAGAGAAUAUAAAAGGAGACCCAGAGAAUGCCAGAGAAAAUGAAAGAUGGCCCAGAAAAGGUCAGAGAAAAUGAAAGCAGGCCCAGAGAAGGUCAAAAGUUGGAGAGGAUGCCCAGAGAAGGCCAAAAGGUGGAGAGGAGGCCCAGAGAAGCCCAGAGAAUAUUAAAGGAGACCC